rnacentral:rRNA from 1 species
GACGAACGCUGGCGGCGUGCUUAACACAUGCAAGUCGAACGGAAAGGCCCUGCUUUUGUGGGGUGCUCGAGUGGCGAACGGGUGAGUAACACGUGAGUAACCUGCCCUUGACUUUGGGAUAACUUCAGGAAACUGGGGCUAAUACCGGAUAGGAGCUCCUGCUGCAUGGUGGGGGUUGGAAAGUUUCGGCGGUUGGGGAUGGACUCGCGGCUUAUCAGCUUGUUGGUGGGGUAGUGGCUUACCAAGGCUUUGACGGGUAGCCGGCCUGAGAGGGUGACCGGCGACAUUGGGACUGAGAUACGGCCCAGACUCCUACGGGAGGCAGCAGUGGGGAAUAUUGCACAAUGGGCGGAAGCCUGAUGCAGAAACGCCGCGUGCGGGAUGACGGCCUUCGGGUUGUAAACCGCUUUCGCCUGUGACGAAGCGGGAGUGACGGUAAUGGGUAAAGAAGCACCGGCUAACUACGUG